rnacentral:rRNA from 1 species
GAGUUUGAUCCUGGCUCAGGACGAACGCUGGUGGCGUGCUUAACACAUGCAAGUCGAACGAAAAGGCCCCGCUCGCGGGGUACUCGAGUGGCGAACGGGUGAGUAACACGUGGGUGAUCUGCCCUGCACUUCGGGAUAAGCCUGGGAAACUGGGUCUAAUACCGGAUAUGACCUCCCUUUAGUGUGGGGGGUGGAAAGAUUUAUCGGUGCAGGAUGAGCCCGCGGCCUAUCAGCUUGUUGGUGGGGUAAUGGCCUACCAAGGCGUCGACGGGUAGCCGGCCUGAGAGGGUGGACGGCCACAUUGGGACUGAGAUACGGCCCAGACUCCUACGGGAGGCAGCAGUGGGGAAUAUUGCACAAUGGGCGGAAGCCUGAUGCAGCGACGCCGCGUGGGGGAUGACGGCCUUCGGGUUGUAAACCUCUUUCGACGGGGACGAAGUGAAAAUGACGGUACCUGUAUAAGAAGCACCGGCUAACUACGUGCCAGCAGCCGCGGUAAUACGUAGGGUGCGAGCGUUGUCCGGAAUUACUGGGCGUAAAGAGCUCGUAGGUGGUUUGUCACGUCGUCUGUGAAAUUCCGGGGCUUAACCUCGGGCGUGCAGGCGAUACGGGCAAUACUUGAGUGCUGUAGGGGAGACUGGAAUUCCUGGUGUAGCGGUGAAAUGCGCAGAUAUCAGGAGGAACACCAAUGGCGAAGGCAGGUCUCUGGGCAGUUACUGACGCUGAGGAGCGAAAGCAUGGGUAGCGAACAGGAUUAGAUACCCUGGUAGUCCAUGCCGUAACGGUGGGCGCUAGGUGUAGGGGACUUCCACGUUCUCUGUGCCGUAGCUAACGCAUUAAGCGCCCCGCCUGGGGAGUACGGCCGCAAGGCUAAAACUCAAAGGAAUUGACGGGGGCCCGCACAAGCGGCGGAGCAUGUGGAUUAAUUCGAUGCAACGCGAAGAACCUUACCUGGGCUUGACAUACACCGGACCGGCGUAGAGAUACGUCUUCCCUUGUGGCCGGUGUACAGGUGGUGCAUGGUUGUCGUCAGCUCGUGUCGUGAGAUGUUGGGUUAAGUCCCGCAACGAGCGCAACCCUUGUCUUAUGUUGCCAGCACGCGAUGGUGGGGACUCAUGAGAGACUGCCGGGGUCAACUCGGAGGAAGGUGGAUGACGUCAAAUCAUCAUGCCCCUUAUGUCCAGGGCUUCACACAUGCUACAAUGGUCGGUACAGCAGGUCGCGAACUCGUGAGAGUAAGCCAAUCCUUCAAAGCCGGCCUCAGUUCGGAUUGGGGUCUGCAACUCGACCCCAUGAAGUCGGAGUCGCUAGUAAUCGCAGAUCAGCAACGCUGCGGUGAAUACGUUCCCGGGCCUUGUACACACCGCCCGUC